CGGGCGGGGUGCCUAUACAUGCAGUCGAGCGGACCUCUUCGGAGRUCAGCGGCGGACGGGUGAGUAACACGUGGGCAACCUGCCUGUAAGACUGGGAUAACUCCGGGAAACCGGAGCUAAUACCGGAUACUAUGUCAAACCGCAUGGUUUGACAUUCAAAGACGGUUUCGGCUGUCACUUACAGAUGGGCCCGCGGCGCAUUAGCUAGUUGGUGAGGUAAUGGCUCACCAAGGCGACGAUGCGUAGCCGACCUGAGAGGGUGAUCGGCCACACUGGGACUGAGACACGGCCCAGACUCCUACGGGAGGCAGCAGUAGGGAAUCUUCCGCAAUGGACGAAAGUCUGACGGAGCAACGCCGCGUGAGUGAUGAAGGUUUUCGGAUCGUAAAACUCUGUUGUCAGGGAAGAACAAGUGCCGGAGUAACUGCCGGCACCUUGACGGUACCUGACCAGAAAGCCACGGCUAACUACGUGCCAGCAGCCGCGGUAAUACGUAGGUGGCAAGCGUUGUCCGGAAUUAUUGGGCGUAAAGCGCGCGCAGGCGGUUUCUUAAGUCUGAUGUGAAAGCCCCCGGCUCAACCGGGGAGGGUCAUUGGAAACUGGGAAACUUGAGUGCAGAAGAGGAGAGUGGAAUUCCACGUGUAGCGGUGAAAUGCGUAGAGAUGUGGAGGAACACCAGUGGCGAAGGCGACUCUCUGGUCUGUAACUGACGCUGAGGCGCGAAAGCGUGGGGAGCGAACAGGAUUAGAUACCCUGGUAGUCCACGCCGUAAACGAUGAGUGCUAAGUGUUAGAGGGUUUCCGCCCUUUAGUGCUGCAGCUAACGCAUUAAGCACUCCGCCUGGGGGAGUACGGUCGCAAGACUGAAACUCAAAGGAAUUGACGGGGGCCCGGCACAAGCGGGUGGAGCAUGUGGUUUAAUUCGAAGGCAACGCGAAAGAACCUUUACCAGUCUUGACAUCCCUUUGCUACUUUCUAGAGAUAGAACGGUUUCCGCUUCGGGGGACAAAGUGACAGGUGGUGCAUGGCUGGUCGGUUCAGCUCGUGUCUGGAAUGCUGGUUAAGGUUCCCGCAACGGAGUCGCCAACCCCUAUG
rnacentral:rRNA from 1 species